UACACACACGCUACAAUGGGUGAUACAACGGAGUUGCCAAAGAGCAAUCUGGAGCCAAUCCCUAAAAAUCAUCCUCAGUACGGAUUGCAGGCUGCAACUGCCUGCAUGAAGUUGGAGUUGCUAGUAAACGCAGGUCAGCACACUGCGUUGAAUACGUUCUCGGGCCUU
rnacentral:rRNA from 1 species